UACGGAGGGUGCGAGCGUUGUUCGGAAUUACUGGGCGUAAAGCGCGUGCAGGCGGCCGACUAAGUCAGGUGUGAAAGCCCGAGGCUCAACCUCGGAACUGCCUUCGAUACUGCGGGUCUCGAGUCCGGGAGAGGUGAGUGGAAUUCCUAGUGUAGAGGUGAAAUUCGUAGAUAUUAGGAAGAACACCAGUGGCGAAGGCGGCUCACUGGCCCGGUACUGACGCUGAGGCGCGAAAGCGUGGGGAGCAAACAGG
rnacentral:rRNA from 1 species